UGGUAGUAUUCCUAGUGUGGCGAAUAAGUGCCACACUAGGUUAUGCUACAACU
ensembl:miRNA